rnacentral:lncRNA from 15 species
UGAAAAAAUAACGUUUUAUGCCUUCAGACUUCCUUAUUAGGAAACACAUUUAUUUUUGUAGAUAAACGAACACAAACCUUGUAUCGGUGCGAUCCUAUCUUUAAAUUACUCUUCUGAACAGAGGUUGUUCGACACAGCCAUAAUUACACCGAACACACAGUCACACUUUCAGAGAAGACACAGAGCUUGACUGAGUCAUCUUGUCCUUGAGGUCACUUAACUUUCUCUUUAAUAGUACAGCACUUACAAAGCGAGAGCAUUCAGCUGACCUGAUAAGAAGGACAAUGCCUCACUUCAAGCCCUGUAAACUACGGAAAUAGCUCAACUGACAGCCAGUACAGUACAGCCCAGUCAUGACUGUAUGUGUUAAUUGCUCUGUGUCAUUUGGUGUCCAGGUCUAUCUCGAAGACUAAUUUGAUAUGUUUUCUGCUUCUCAGAUCGAGACAUUUGCUCUCUACAGAGAAGCUCCAUCAUACAAGUUAAAUGAUGAUAAUGAUUUCUGCAGGCCACCAGAUUCAUUAUGGCGACCAUCUUGUCAGUUGCAGGGCAAUGGCUCAUGAAACUCAGAUAUGAGGUGCAUCACAGCUCGGAAAGCUGCAUCCGUCAUGCAAAGAUCAUCCACCCUGUCUCUUUGAAGUCUUGGAUCUGUUGUGGCAACAUGGCUUCAUCCACACAACUUUCUCCACAGAGAGACACCAGAAUGAAAAGGUUCUGCUGCUGUGGAGCCGCUUAUUGAAAAAUGCAUCAAACUCCCCAUGCAUGAGGGAUGUGAAAUGUUAUGAGACCAGGUGUAACGCGGCCAAGUCAAUCAAUUUCAAAUCAAGCCAUGCUCCUCAGUCAUCCAUAAUAAUUUUUAGCACGCAAGUGGCUUUUUAAUCUUUUCAUACAGGAGGUGUGCUUAACCCAUGCACCCUCUAUGAAAAAUGCCAACGAGAGCACGAAGAAUUAAUUAAAAGAGGCAAUGUGUCUGAUGGAUAUAGUUGAAGUUUUCCCUGUGAAAAAUAUAAUUCAUUCGUUUUAAUUUA